GAUGAACGCUGGCGGCGUGCCUAAUACAUGCAAGUCGAGCGAACAGACGUGGAUCUUACUCCUCUGACGUUAGCGGCGGACGGGUGAGUACCACGUGGAUAACCUCCCUAUCAGACUGGGAUAACUUCGGGACACCGGAGCUAAUACCGGAUAACAUGUUGAACCGCAUGGUUCAACCGUGACAGACGGUCUUGCUGUCACUUAUAGAUGGAUCCGCGUCGCAUUAGCUAGUUGGUAAGGUAACGGCUUACCAAGGCAACGAUGCGUAGCCGACCUGAGAGGGUGAUCGGCCACACUGGAACUGAGACACGGUCCAGACUCCUACGGGAGGCAGCAGUAGGGAAUCUUCCGCAAUGGGCGAAAGCCUGACGGAGCAACGCCGCGUGAGUGAAGAAGGUCUUCGGAUCGUAAAACUCUGUUAUUAGGGAAGAACAAAUGUGUAAGUAACUAUGCACGUCUUGACGGUACCUAAUCAGAAAGCCACGGCUAACUACGUG
rnacentral:rRNA from 1 species